rnacentral:rRNA from 1 species
AUAUCAAUAAGCGGAGGAAAAGAAACCAACAGGGAUUGCCUCAGUAACGGCGAGUGAGGCGGCAACAGCUCAAAUUUGAAACCUGCCUCCAGGCCGGAUUGUAAUUUGUAGAGGAUGUUUUGGAUAGGGCACUGAUCUAAGUUUCUUGGAACAGAACGUCACAGAGGGUGAGAAUCCCGUACGUGGUCUGUGCCUCUGUCCGUGUAAAACUCCUUCGACGAGUCGAGUUGUUUGGGAAUGCGGCUCAAAAUGGGUGGUGAACUCCAUCUAAAGCUAAAUAUUGGCGAGAGACCGAUAGCGCACAAGUA